rnacentral:rRNA from 1 species
ACGGGUGAGUAAUGUCUGGGGAUCUGCCCGAUAGAGGGGGAUAACCACUGGAAACGGUGGCUAAUACCGCAUAACGUCGCAAGACCAAAGAGGGGGACCUUCGGGCCUCUCACUAUCGGAUGAACCCAGAUGGGAUUAGCUAGUAGGCGGGGUAACGGCCCACCUAGGCGACGAUCCCUAGCUGGUCUGAGAGGAUGACCAGCCACACUGGAACUGAGACACGGUCCAGACUCCUACGGGAGGCAGCAGUGGGGAAUAUUGCACAAUGGGCGCAAGCCUGAUGCAGCCAUGCCGCGUGUAUGAAGAAGGCCUUCGGGUUGUAAAGUACUUUCAGCGGGGAGGAAGGCAGUGAGGUUAAUAACCGCAUUGAUUGACGUUACCCGCAGAAGAAGCACCGGCUAACUCCGUGCCAGCAGCCGCGGUAAUACGGAGGGUGCAAGCGUUAAUCGGAAUUACUGGGCGUAAAGCGCACGCAGGCGGUCUGUUAAGUCAGAUGUGAAAUCCCCGGGCUUAACCUGGGAACUGCAUUUGAAACUGGCAGGCUUGAGUCUCGUAGAGGGGGGUAGAAUUCCAGGUGUAGCG